rnacentral:rRNA from 1 species
UACGUAGGGACCAAGCGUUGUUCGGAUUUACUGGGCGUAAAGGGCGCGUAGGCGGCAAUUCAAGUCAGCUGUGAAAUCUCCGAGCUUAACUCGGAACGGUCAGCUGAUACUGUUUUGCUAGAGUGCAGAAAGGGCAACCGGAAUUCUUGGUGUAGCGGUGAAAUGCGUAGAUAUCAGGAGGAAUACCGGUGGCGAAGGCGGCCUUCUGGACGGUGACUGACGCUGAGACGCGAAAGCGUGGGGAGCAAACAGG